UAAUCCAACAAGUCCUCCAACUCAUACGACCGUAUGGGUCGUUUGUCACUAUCCAUAAAUACGACCCACACGAGCGUUCUCUAAAUUAGCGCCCCUAUUGGCAACAGGAGGUAUGAUAAAUGAACUUUCGCCUAAAUGCAUUGUGGGUUUAUUUUAACAUGUUUGCUAUUUGCGUUUUGAAUUGUUUGAUUUAAACUCUCCCAGAUGUUCGUGGAUUUUGAUGAUAUGGAUUUUAGAUGACUUCGAGACAUGUACAGUUUUGCAGUUUCUUCAUAUCACAUACAUCUCCAGCUCCUACAACAACAUUCAGUGUCCAGCAGCUCUUUAUGAUGCUCUCUCUCUCUCUCUCUCUCUCUCUCUCUCUCUCUCUCUCUCUCUCUUUCUCUCUCACUCUCUCUCUCUCUCUCUCUCUCUCUCUCUCUCUCUCUCAUUUUCCUUUCCUAUUUUUCUGAACUGUAAUUCAUAAAUAAGUCACACAUAUUUUUCUUUCUUUCUCUUGUUCAUCAUGGCAUAUUUUCACAGCUCAGAAUCAGAUUUUGAUCAGUUCUUGUAUUAACAGGGAACUUGUACUCGAAGCUCAACUUGAAGAAGUUUCCAGUGAAGAUGAAGUCCUUCAAAGGUUCGACACAGCUGAAAAGGAAGACCAUGGGCCUGUCAAACCUUGUUUGUGGAGAGGGAUGAAUUUGACCAUCUUGUGUGUUUACGGAGAAGACCAAAAGCUGCUAAGGCAGAUAUUUCCAGAGGUACAAACAGAGCGGAUGGUUGCAUGAUGGCCUCUUUCAGGUUUGUCAACUGAAUGUCUACUAGUGUGGCUCAGCAAGUUCCUGUCAUGAUCAGCCCUCUCCAAGAAAGCUGAAGAGCAAAAACACAAAGAACAUCAGUCCUGUUGGGGAUGAGGAAUGAACAUGGCUCUAUUGUGCCCAAACAGAAAAGAGUGAAAAGUCCUAGAAUGAACAAAUCAUCAGGGCAUCAUUUCUGGAAUUUGGGCAGAAAAUGACUGAAUAUGAAAGACUGCAGUAGAAGGAAAGCUGGUACUGAGAACAUUUGUCUUCACUCCAGACUAAAGAGAAGCAGGUCUGAGGCCAGAGAUGGAGGAGUCAAUGGUCACCAAAUGCAGCGCUGCAGCCUGAAACUGUGAAGACUGAAUUCCCAAACAGCUGUGUGACUGCACAGAUGUUACGGCCAUAAAAGAAACUUCACAACUGAGAGCCCAUACCUCCAACAACCUUCAACAGGAAUCAAUGGACAUCUACGCAAGGUUUUUCUUUUGUUGAGGACCGUCAGAGACUCCAGCCACACGAGCCAUGGAUUGCUCUCAACAUCACCAUCAGACAGACAUUAUCACAGAACCAGCACCAGCAGACUGCAAAACAAGUUCCUUCAACAGGCAAUCAGACUGAACUGAACUCGUACCAGUAACACCACACACACACACACACACACACACACACACAUACACACACCAGCAGCCUCAUACUGUGUGCACUGCACUCUAUCAGCUACACUGACUGGACUCUGACUCACUAUUAUUCUGCAACCUGAUAUUCUGUUUGCACUAAUUCAUACUGUACUGAAAGUGAAAGUGACGUGACAUACAGUCAAGUAUGGUGACCCAUACUCAGAAUUUGUGCUCUGCAUUUAACCCAUCCGAAGUGCACACACACAGAGCAGUGAACACACACACACUGUGAACACACACCCGGAGCAGUGGGCAGAGGUAUAUCUACAGUAUACAGUGAUUGUUGUUAAUUGUUUUCAUUUUGUUCUCUCUGUAUAGUAUAGUAUUGCACUAUAUUUUCUACCUGUAUUGAGCUCUUAUGUAUACGGUUUAUAUUUUUGAUACUGUAUAUGUGUUGCAAAUAUAUUCAGUACUUGUCAUGCUGCAGUUUGCAGAAAAGCAUUUUACCACCUGUAUACUUGCAUUCAUGGUAUUGUGAUAAUAAAAUGAUUUGAUUUGAAUUGGUCACAUGACUUGUUCAUCAGUUGUAUUGUUGUGCUGGAUAACAAUUGCAAAUUGUUUAUGACAUUGAAGAAGAUCAUGAUAGAGACAUGGAUUUGAAGAAAACCAGGAGAGCUCUGAUGAUGAGAAGGAAACUGGAUGUGAUUCUUUGGUGCUCAAGACAUUUCACCAUGCCUUCAUCUGGGUUUCUUCAUCUGAUUAAAAUAAAAUGGUUUUAAUGUAACCCAUUUUUAUUUCACUUGAAUAUAAUUUGUCUUAAUAUGCUUCUUUAUCUGUCUUUAUGCUGCAUCCUAGUAAAAUAUUGCGUAUGGUGUUGGAUAAUCAAGUAUGGUGAAUAUUCUGUACUAGAGAUGGUUUUUUGGUAGAUACACCAUUUAAUUUUGUAAACAACACAUAUAAUCACCAUGGUUGUUUUGAUGAAGACAUGAACAUUUAGUAAUAUUAAUGAAAUUCAGUUAGAUGAAGAGCUGCAUUAGAAGAGACUGCAUGGACUUCAUGCACAACUGAAGGUGAUGAAUCAAGGAAAGAUCAACAUGAAUCCUGUUCUGUAUUAUAAUGAAGAUGUUCAUGCACAUUACUGAUGUCUAGCUCCUGAGCAGGACAAAGAUGAGACAUUCUUUACAGAGAUUUAUGAAUUAGGUAUUUUAUAUUAUGAUUCUUUAAAUUGCAUGAAUUGUAUGGAACCAUAAACUGCACACUGUCACACAUUGUCUUACUGAAUGACACAUUGGCCUUGUCUGAUGAAAUGUCAGAAUAUGUAUUUGUUGUCUUUGUUUACUAUUAGCACUGUAUUAUUGCUCUUGAUCUUAUGAAAUAAAUUGAGCUCUUUCCAAAUGGGCACUUAUGUUGA